rnacentral:rRNA from 1 species
GACGAACGCUGGCGGCGCGCUUAACACAUGCAAGUCGAGCGAAGAAAUUUGGACAGAUCCCUUCGGGGUGAAGAUGCGAUGGGUUAACGGCGGAGGGGUGAGUAACACGUGAGUAACCUGCCUUUGUCAUUGGGAUAGACUCGGGAAACAGGGAUUAAUACCAAAGGACAGUAACUGAUCACAUGAUCAAUUAGUACAAGCAAUUCGGUGAAAGAUGGACUCGCGGGGGAUUAGCUAGUGGGGGAGGUAACGGCCCACCAGGGUGAGGAUCAGUAGCCGGGCUGUGAGGCUGAGCGGCGACAUUGAAACUGAGACGCGGUAGCAACUCCUACGGGAGGCAGCAGUGCGGAAUAUUGCACAAUCGGGGAAGCGCUGAUGAUGUGGGGCUGCGGGAGCUAAGAUGUUCUUGGAGUCGAAAAGCUCUUGUAUUUGGGAAGGUAAUGACGGUACCUCAAGAAAAAGCCCCGGCUAACUACGUG